AAGGAAGACCGCGAUGGAAGAAAAACGAAGGGUGACCUAUGCUGCUGGUUAACUCUGCUAGGUCGCCUAGGGAACGGUCGCACAUGCGCAGUGCAGGUGGGAAUGCGGCAGAACGCUGUCGGGGCCUGGCUGCGGACGAAAGUGGCUGCAAGUACGACCGUGCUGCUUCCGGGCCGCCACCUGGCGGUGCUCCCGUACGCGCCCUCCUUCCCCUCGUUCGACGAGAACGUGCCACGCGGCUCAUGAACCAAGGAGGCCUCGGCAAUCACGUAGCUUCGGCGCUGGGCCAACAGUUCUUACACAGCUCCUCCAGGCGGUGGUCAGCGACCACUUCACGAGGACCACGAAGCACCAGUGCCCGCCGACGCCCAGACUCGCGUCGGGGGCUCCAGCCCGAGGCCCUGUACCAAGACGCGACGGCUGAGGAACUCCGGGAACUAUGCGGACAGCGCUCAAGGAGAAGACAGAAGGUAGACUGCAUACAAGGCGCCCGGCAGCCCCACUUACAAGGGAUGAUACAGCCUUGAUAUUAAAGGAACAAAUAAAGAGGGAAA